CCCUAGCCCCGAUAGCAGUGAAAAUCCUUUUGUGCCGGUGUUCGGCACAAAAGAUUGUAACGGAUAGCGGGAAAAAGC
rnacentral:sRNA from 1 species